rnacentral:tRNA from 1 species
ACUUUCUCAGUAUAAAUUUGUACACUUGCCUUCCAAGCAAUAAGUUUGACCCUCAAAGAAAGUA